GCCGGACAGAGUAGCGUCUGUCUGUAACGGAGUCGGGCAAAGGGACGUGAAGAGAUUCUGCGCCCGUCAUCCUCCGGGAGGGCGUGUCGAAACCGAGUCUGAUCGAAGUUCAGGGUCAGCAUUGUGGGUCUCGCGGAAGCGAGAUCAACAAGGCUGCCUAAGUAGGGGGGGAACGCGUGAGGCCGUGACCGGAGCAGCGAAAACUCCCAGCCCCGAAUAGUCGACAGACAGCUCGGUUGAAUGCCGCCUGGAAGGCUCUGGCGGGUCCGCAGUAUGUCGACUGGUUUUGUC
rfam:Emiliania huxleyi CCMP1516 EMIHTscaffold_53_Cont2083, whole genome shotgun sequence.